rnacentral:lncRNA from 10 species
GGCACAGUUCCUCUUGGCUUCCCCUGGCUAGGGGAGGGAGUUCCCCAAUCCCUGGCACUUCCCUGGUGAAACAAUGCCCCACCCUGCCUUGGCUUGCCCUCUAUGGGCUGCACCCCCUGUCUAACCAGUCCCGAUGAGAUGAGCCAGAUACCUCAGCUGGAAAUGCAGAAAUCACCCACCUUCUGCGUUGAUCUCUGCGGGAGCUGUAGACUGGAGCUCUUCCUAUUCGGCCAUCUUGCCAGCCACCCGUACUGUACUUUGGAAGAAAGUCACUACAUAUAGCCAGCACUUUAAAAGAAUGGAGAAUUAUGGUCCCUAUCCUUAAGGCAAAUACAUUGGAGACUUCUCAACUUUCUGCUUCUGAUGAUCUCAACUUGUGGUAUGGCAAAAGGAGAGCAAAAUGUUCACCCAGGAACGAGAAGUCCUGGCAGCUGAGUCAUGAUCCCCCAGGAGCCAUUAAGAAGUUAAUCUUCAGUCACUUCCAUCCAAACAGAAGAAAACCCAUGAAGGAUGAGAACUAUGGGUCCUGAGAAUGACAGGUAUUGAAGACAGGAUUUAUCUUCUCUACUUCUUCUUUUAGAAGCAGAUCAAGAAACUGGCGAUUGAAGAGUAACUGAAAGAAACGCAAUCUGAUCUUACUAGCAGUGAAAGAGCGAGUGGAGGAAACAGAUGAAGGAAACAGCUUACACCAAGAUUUCAGAUACGAUCAUUUUGAAUAGCUAUUUCCUUUACUUUCCAGGAUUGUUUUUGUAAUCAGUUGAAAAAGAAUGCUUUUUUCCCCCUAGAGUUAGGGUUUAAAAAAUUACAUAUUUAUUAUUACACUGUUAAUAAGCUUUUUUGCAGUUUGUUUCUUCUUCAAGUUAUUUCAUUUGUUUCACCCACUGUCAAUGUAUUUAUUUUUUUUAAAAGUCUGAGGGCUACCGUUGGAGGUCUCUCUUAGUGAGACAAUGUAAUGCAUUAUCUAUUGCAGGUGUCAGGCUUUGAGCCCUACCUUAGCUACUUGCUAACUUGGCUACUCAGCCCAGUUAUUUGAAUUCACUAUGCCUCAGUUCCUUUGUUCCUAAAAUGUCGAUAAUAAAAGUUUCUGGGCUUGAUGUAAGUACUAAAUGGCUUAAUACAUAAAAAGUACUUAAGGCAGGACCCAGCAUGUAGCAAACCUCCAAUAAUUGUUGGCUAUCAUUAUCGCUGUUUUCUGUAUUUCUAUUAUUAUUAUUCUACAAAAUAUGUAAAUAUUUACAGAUGUCAACCAGAGUCUCUGCUGUAUGUCCCUAUCAUUGAGGUUCAUCCGUACUGUCUCUGUAUUGGAAUUAUGGUCAUAUCAGACUAAGAUCACUAGAGAUCUAAUAAAUGGGCAGAAUCUACUUUGCCAGGAAGGCUGAAGACAUUUGGUCAGAAAAUGUAGGAGUUUCUUGCUUCUGCAUCUCAGAUUCUUUGUGCCUUCAAUUUUUCUUGCUUUCCUUAGACCUCUCUGUAAAAGGUAACCUUUCAUCUUGAGUGUUUUUAAUACAUAUUGAAUAAUUAUUUGGUGGUGACUGGAACAUAAAUUAUCGAUUUAAUUCUCACAACUAGCUUAUAAAGAAGGUCCUCUUUGUAUGCCCAUUUCACAUGUCUAGGAAGAUCGAGUUCAGUAUGUGGAGCUGUGAUUCUAAUGUCAUGCAGUCUGCCUUUAGAGCAAAAAUGCAUAAAUCCUCCUCCAUGCUGCCUUCUCACUCAUGUUCUGGAUUUCAUAUCAUGUUAAUAACUUAUCUCCUAUUACCUCAUGCCCUGCCCCUCAACCACAAUCAAAGCUAUCAUCUCACUCAGAUUGUAGAGGAAAGUCCUUUUUUCUUGGUACCACCAUGGACCUUGAUUAAACUUUUGAGGAAUCUGUAGCUCAGUCUCCCUCUGAUGCCGAGCAGAAGCUAGACUGUACUGCUGCCAUCUCAGCUCACUGCAACCUCCCUGCCUGAUUCUCCUGCCUCAGCCUGCUGAGUGCCUGCAAUUGCAGGCGCGCCGCCACGCCUGACUGGUUUUCGUAUUUUUUUGGUGGAGACGGGGAUUCGCUGUGUUGGCCGGGCUGGUCUCCAGCUCCUAACCGCGAGUGAUCCACCAGCCUCGGCCUCCUGAGGUGCCGGGAUUGCAGACGGAGUCUGGUUCACUCAGUGCUCAAUGGCGCCCAGACUGGAGUGCAGUGGCGUGAUCUCAGCUCGCUACAACCUCCACCUCCCAGCCGCCUCCCUUGGCCUCCCAAAGUGCAGAGAUUGCAGCCUCUGCCCGGCCGCCACCCCGCCUGGGAAGUGAGGAGCGUCUCUGCCUGGCCGCCCAUUGUCUGGGAUGUGAGGAGCCCCUCUGCCUGGCUGCCCAGUCUGGAAAGUGAGGAGUGUCUCUGCCUGGCCGCCAUCCCAUCUAGGAAGUGAGGAGCGCCUCUUCCCGGCCGCCAUCCCAUCUAGGAAGUGAGGAGCCUCUCUGCCCAGCCGCCCAUCGUCUGAGAUGUGGGGAGCGCCUCUGCCCCGCCGCCCCGUCUGGGAUGUGAGGAGCGCCUCUACCCCGCCGCGACCCCGUCUGGGAGGUGAGGAGCGUCUCUGCCCGGCGGCCCCGUCUGGGAAGUGAGGAGACCCUCCGCCCGGCAGCCGCCCCAUCUGAGAAGUGAGGAGCCCCUCUGCCCAGCAGCCACCCUGUCUGGGAAGUGAGGAGCGUCUCUGCCCAGCAGCCACCCCGUCUGGGAGGGAGGUGGGGGGUCAGCCCCCCGCCCGGCCAGCCGCCCCGUCCGGGAGGUGAGGGGCGCCUCUGCCCGGCGGCCCCUACUGGGAAGUGAGGAGCCCCUCUGCCCGGCCAGCCGCCCCGUCUGGGAAGUGAGGAGCGUCUCCGCCCAGCAGCCACCCCGUCCGGGAGGGAGGUGGGGGGAUCAGCCCCCCGCCCGGCCAGCCGCCCAGUCCGGGAGGGAGGUGGGGGGGUCAGCCCCCCGCCCGGCCAGCCGCCCCGUCCGGGAGGUGAGGGGUGCCUCUGCCCGGCCGCCCCUACUGGGAAGUGAGGAGCCCCUCUGCCCGGCCAGCCGCCCGGUCCGGGAGGGAGGUGGGGGGGUCAGCCCCCUGCCUGGCAAGCCGCCCCGUCUGGGAGGGAGGUGGGGGGAUCAGCCCCCCGCCGGGCCAGCCACCCCGUCCGGGAGGUGAGGGGUGCCUCUGCCCGGCCGCCCCUACUGGGAAGUGAGGAGCCCCUCUGCCCGGCCAGCCGCCCCAUCCGGGAGUGAGGUGGGGGGGUCAGCCCCCUGCCCGGCCAGCCGCCCCGUCCGGGAGGUGAGGGGCGCCUCUGCCCGGCCGCCCCUACUGGGAAGUGAGGAGCCCCUCUGCCCGGCCACCACCCCGUCUGGGAGGUGUACCCAACAGCUCAUUGAGAACGGGCCAUGAUGACAAUGGCGGUUUUGUGGAAUAGAAAGCGGGGAAAGGUGGGGAAAAGAUUGAGAAAUCGGAUGGUUGCCGUGUCUGUGUAGAAAGAGGUAGACAUGGGAGACUUUUCAUUUUGUUCUGUACUAAGAAAAAUUCUUAUCCUGUUGAUCUGUGACCUUACCCCCAACCCCGUGCUCUCUGAAACAUGUGCUGUGUCCACUCAGGGCUAAAUGGAUUAAGGGCGGUGCAAGAUGUGCUUUGUUAAACAGAUGCUUGAAGGCAGCAUGCUCGUUGAGAGUCAUCACCACUCCCUAAUCUCAAGUAACCAGGGACACAAACACUGUGGAAGGCCGCAGGGUCCUCUGCCUAGGAAAACCAGAGACCUUUGUUCACUUGUUUAUCUGCUGACCUUCCCUCCACUAUUGUCCUAUGACCCUGCCAAAUCCCCCUCUGCGAGAAACACCCAAGAAUGAUCAAUAAAAAAAUAAAAUAAAAUAAAAUAAAAUAAAAUAAAUAAAGUUUCAUGCGCAUCCGUGUGAAGAGACCACCAAACAGGCUUUGUGUGAGCAGCAUGGCUGUUUAUUUCACCUGGGUGCAGGCGGGCUGAGUCCGAAAAGAGAGUCAGCCAAGGG